rnacentral:rRNA from 1 species
AUUGAACGCUGGCGGCAGGCCUAACACAUGCAAGUCGAACGAGUGGCGGACGGGUGAGUAAUGUCUGGGAAACUGCCUGAUGGAGGGGGAUAACGACUGGAAACGGUAGCUAAUACCGCAUACAAUCAGAUGUGCCCAGAGGGGAUUAGCUUGUUGGUGGGGUAACGGAUCACCAAGGCGACGAUCCCUAGCUGGUCUGAGAGGAUGACCAGCCCACCUGGAACGGAGCCACGGUCCAGACUCCUACGGGAGGCAGCAGUGGGGAAUAUUGCACAAUGGGCGCAAGCCGGAUGCAGCCAUGCCGCGUGUAUGAAGAAGGCCUUCGGGUUGUAAAGUACUUUCAGCGGGGAGGCGUUACCCGCAGAAGAAGCACCGGCUAACUCCGUGCCAGCCGCCGCGGUAAUUC